rnacentral:misc_RNA from 1 species
GUACCGGGGAGACAGCUACCACAGGGAGAGUAGCUACAGCAGGAGACCUAUGUGGAUAGAUAAAUAUGGUCCACCAACUAGAACAGAGUAUCGAGUUAUCGUUGAGAAUUUGUCGUCUCGUGUCAGCUGGCAGCUUGCGAUGCUGUAGAUGUCAGAAGCCUCGAUGACUGAGGGCUCUGAUGAGAGGGGUGUGACUGCUAGAUGAUUGACAGUCCCUGAUGUUUUCUGGCUGUGUCUCUCUGUCGAUGUGAUGAGGGGUGCAGGGGUCUGGCUGUUCUAUGUAGAUGUAGAGUGAUGGUUGUCCACGAUGUAGACUGGCUGUUAAUCACACAUCAACAGCCAGUCUAGAAUAGGGAUGAUGAUGAUGAUGAUGAUGAUCUGUGAAAAUGAAAAAAAAAUGUAUUUCAGAACAGUCAGCUUUAUAAGUGAUUAGGCAUGAGACCUUUAACCUCAAAUUUGACGGAUGUGUUUCACACUUUAUUUUUAGUUUACUGAUUUUUCAAUUCACAAAAAAGAAAACAUUAACAAAAAUAUACAUGUAUGUACAUGUAUAUAUAUUUAUAUAUAUAGACAUGAACAUGCAUUGAAAGCUGUUUAUGAAAUGCCAAGAAAAAAAUGUUUUUUGGUUGGGAAAUGAGCAAGUUUGUCGAAGUCAAGAAGUGAAGAUUUGAUGUUGAUUUUCUGAUGACGUCAUGGUGAUGUCAGAUGCUCUAGAGAUCACAGCCAUUCAGAGGGUGCUUGAUGUCCUUUCAGAUGUUUCUUUCUAGAAAAUUAUCACAGGAGGAUCUGAAAGACUACAUGAGACAAGCAGGGGAGGUCACCUAUGCUGAUGCCCACAAACAGCAUAAAAAUGAAGGAGUUGUAGAAUUUGCUUCUUACUCUGAUAUGAAGAGAGCACUAGAUAAGUUGGAUGAAACGGAGAUAAAUGGCAGGAAGAUUCGUCUGGUUGAGGACAAGCCAAGGCGAAGCAGGAGGAGUUCGAGGAGUCGCUCCAGAUCAAGAAGCCGGAGUAGAUCUAGACGAUCCAGGUCUCGCAGUCACUCCAGAAGCCGGUCCAGAAGUCGCUCUCGCAAAAGAAGGGCCUCCUCAAGAAGUCGAAGCCGGAGCAAAUCUAGAAGUCGGAGUCGAUCCAGGUCAAGAUCCGCAUCUAGGGGCAGGUCCAAGUCAAGAUCCAAAUCCAGGGACAGGUCCAAAUCCAAGUCAAGAUCCAAAUCAAGGGAAAAGUCCAAAUCUAAGUCUAGAUCCAAAUCAAGGUCAAAGUCGAAAUCAAGGUCAAAGUCCAAAUCUCCUGCUAAAAGUAGGUCACCAUCACCAUCAAGGACCAAGUCCAGAUCGAGGUCCAAGUCCCCAGCAAAGGAGGAGCCAAUGGAAGGAGAGCAGAACUGAUCAUCAAUAUGAACUUGUUACACUGUAACAGUUGGACAAGAUUCAUCUCAUUGACCUGUUUUAACCCUUUUCAAAUUUAAGUUCUAUCAUUUUGGAUUUCUUGUUGCUUCAGAGUUUUUGAACUGAAUUAAGACAUCAAAUUUCAUAUUUGUUACUCAAGAAAAUUUGUAGCUGUUGUUAUGCUUUGUGCCGUAGAAGUUUUAUUGACACAGAAACACUCACAUGUUCUUGUAUUAUAUAAGGCAGAACAUUCAGAUGUAUGAUAUUUGAAUAUUUGAAGAAUUAAAUAUUUGUGAAAAAAU